AGUGAACGCUGGCGGUAGGCCUAACACAUGCAAGUCGAACGGCAGCACAGUAAGAGCUUGCUCUUACGGGUGGCGAGUGGCGGACGGGUGAGGAAUACAUCGGAAUCUACUUUUUCGUGGGGGAUAACGUAGGGAAACUUACGCUAAUACCGCAUACGACCUACGGGUGAAAGCAGGGGAUCUUCGGACCUUGCGCGAUUGAAUGAGCCGAUGUCGGAUUAGCUAGUUGGCGGGGUAAAGGCCCACCAAGGCGACGAUCCGUAGCUGGUCUGAGAGGAUGAUCAGCCACACUGGAACUGAGAAACGGUCCAGACUCCUACGGGAGGCAGCAGUGGGGAAUAUUGGACAAUGGGCGAAAGCCUGAUCCAGCCAUACCGCGUGGGUGAAGAAGGCCUUCGGCUUGUAAAGCCAUUUUGUUGGGAAAGAAAAGCAGCAGGUUAAUCCCCCGCUGUUCUGACGGUACCCAAAGAAUAAGCACCGGCUAACUUCGUG
rnacentral:rRNA from 1 species